GAACGCUGAAACCAGAUGCUUGCAUUUGGUGGAUGAGUGGCGAACGGGUGAGUAACACGUGGGUGAUCUGCCCUACACUUUGGGAUAAGCCUGGGAAACUGGGUCUAAUACCGAAUAUUCACACCACCGUAGGGGUGGUGUGGAAAGCUUUAUGCGGUGUGGGAUGAGCCUGCGGCCUAUCAGCUUGUUGGUGGGGUAAUGGCCUACCAAGGCGUCGACGGGUAGCCGGCCUGAGAGGGUGUACGGCCACAUUGGGACUGAGACACGGCCCAGACUCCUACGGGAGGCAGCAGUGGGGAAUAUUGCACAAUGGGCGCAAGCCUGAUGCAGCGACGCCGCGUGGGGGAUGACGGCCUUCGGGUUGUAAACUCCUUUCGCUAGGGACGAAGCCACUUGUGGUGACGGUACCUGGAGAAGAAGCACCGGCUAACUACGUGCCAGCAGCCGCGGUAAUACGUAGGGUGCGAGCGUUGUCCGGAAUUACUGGGCGUAAAGAGCUCGUAGGUGGUUUGUCGCGUCGUCUGUGAAAUCCCGGGGCUUAACUUCGGGCGUGCAGGCGAUACGGGCAUAACUUGAGUGCUGUAGGGGAGACUGGAAUUCCUGGUGUAGCGGUGAAAUGCGCAGAUAUCAGGAGGAA
rnacentral:rRNA from 1 species